rnacentral:rRNA from 1 species
UCCGUAGGGUGCAAGCGUUGUCCGGAUUUAUUGGGUUUAAAGGGUGCGUAGGCGGCCCUGUAAGUCAGUGGUGAAAUACUCCAGCUUAACUGGAGGGGUGCCAUUGAUACUGCAGGGCUUGAGUUAAGUUGAAGUUGGCGGAAUUGACGGUGUAGCGGUGAAAUGCUUAGAUAUCGUCAAGAACACCGAUAGUGAAGACAGCUAACUAAACUUUUACUGACGCUGAGGCACGAAAGUGUGGGGAUCAAACAGG